CCACUUCCACUCACGCCCCUGCCACCUGCUCCACAGAGAGAGAGCAUGACAGAAGGAGAGAAAGAGAAAGAGGAGGUCAGAGGAGUUUGACACGACACUUGUCAGACGCUACAUUUCUAUCGGGUCUGGACCACUAGACGACUCUGACACUUUCUGAAAAGCAAGACCCACAUAGCACCACCGUUGCCUCGGGGAUUACAGCAUGACAGAUUUUCAAGAUUUCGAUGGAAAGGAUUUGAGACAGUGCCAAAAGGAACCUUUUUUCUUGGCCCAGGUAAAAGGGGUUAUCUGUAAACUUUGGCUACAUUUCUACACCAGUGAAAAUCCUACUAUCCUUUAGCCAGUGACCUUCUGCAAGCUGUUUCACGCAUCAGUUACCAUGGUAUUGCAAUGCAACCUUGGGAAUGCCAGGAGCUGCCCACUUCAAACAGAGCUGGGAAAGGUUAUCUGUGGCGGCUGGUGGGAACGCUCAAAAUGUCCGGAAAGGGACUGAACUGCACACUGAUGCCUCUCAAAUAAAGCCAGACAUAAGGGAUCUCAUACAAGUACAAAUAAUCCAACUGAGAACUAUGUAAACACAUUUGGUCUCCCUGCCAUGUUCUGCUUCGAAACUAUCGGUGACGGUGACCAAAAUAGAUUUUCUAUUUUCUGUAUGUAAAUCAUCAAGUUCUCACAGUUGAAAACAGACUUUCAAUGACACUUCUGCAAAACUACUUUAUUAACUAAUAGAAAAUAGAAAAUCAACUGAUGUAACUGAGAUAAGAAAAUUUACAGAACCCAAAAUUGAUCCAUGAGGCACACGCAAAAGAAAUAAAAAUCCAUCUGAAAUGAAA